CAAUAGAUUGAUGGCGACCGGCGCACGGGUGAGUAACACGUAUCCAACCUGCCGAUAACUCGGGGAUAGCCUUUCGAAAGAAAGAUUAAUAUCCGAUAGUAUAUUAAAACCGCAUGGUUUUACUAUUAAAGAAUUUCGGUUAUCGAUGGGGAUGCGUUCCAUUAGUUUGUUGGCGGGGUAACGGCCCACCAAGACUACGAUGGAUAGGGGUUCUGAGAGGAAGGUCCCCCACAUUGGAACUGAGACACGGUCCAA
rnacentral:rRNA from 1 species